GCUUGGUAAGUGUAUGUCAGAUUAUUCUCUGUCUUGCCAGGCAGAUCUGCUUUUAUUCCAAUGAGGGAGUAUGAGGAAAGAGGCAGAGAGAAGAUCAAGGAGUAUUCAAUCCAAUAUUGCUCCUUCAUCCCUAUGGAAAUGUGGAAGGGAAGGGAAAAAAUGUGGGAUCAUUUUCCUAUCUGGUUCUCAUUCUCCCCAAAGGGGAGAGGGUGACCAUCGGGAGAUGGCUGAGAGCAUCACAUCCAGCGACGCACCCCCAAGAGCCCAUUGAAUGUGACGCAGGCACUUCCUCAUCUCAGGGAUCCUCUACCUGGAACAUGCUUUCUCUAGAAGCCUGUGUAUCCAGUUCACUCACCUCCAGGUCUUUGCUCACAUAUUGCCUUCUCAGUAAGGGCUACCUGGACCAUCCUGUUCAAAAUCAGAGACUGCUCACCGCCCCCCACUCCCCAAUCUUGCUGUCCUCCACUGUUUUGUUUUCCAUAGCACUUACUAUUUUCUAACAUAUAUAUCUAUUGAUUAUAUUUGUUGCUUAUUUUAUGUCUCACCCACUGGAAUAUAAGCUCUUUGUGUGUUUAGUUUAUUGAUGUAUUCCACGUGCCUGGGACAUACUUGCUUAAUGAAUGAACAAAUGCAUGAACGUGAAACUAUAGAUUUCUGUACUUUUUCUAUUUCCUUCCACUUCCAC
rnacentral:lncRNA from 1 species